rnacentral:piRNA from 1 species
UUGGGGUUUACGGAGAUGAUGUUUGUGGA